GACGAACGCUGGCGGCGUGCCUAAUACAUGCAAGUAGAACGCUGAAGGAGGAGCUUGCUCUUCUGGAUGAGUUGCGAACGGGUGAGUAACGCGUAGGUAACCUGCCUGGUAGCGGGGGAUAACUAUUGGAAACGAUAGCUAAUACCGCAUAACAGUAGAUGUUGCAUGACAUUUGCUUAAAAGGUGCAAUUGCAUCACUACCAGAUGGACCUGCGUUGUAUUAGCUAGUUGGUGGGGUAACGGCUCACCAAGGCGACGAUACAUAGCCGACCUGAGAGGGUGAUCGGCCACACUGGGACUGAGACACGGCCCAGACUCCUACGGGAGGCAGCAGUAGGGAAUCUUCGGCAAUGGACGGAAGUCUGAACGAGCAACGCCGCGUGAGUGAAGAAGGUUUUCGGAUCGUAAAGCUCUGUUGUAAGAGAAGAACGAGUGUGAGAGUGGAAAGUUCACACUGUGACGGUAUCUUAACAGAAAGGGACGGCUAACUACGUG
rnacentral:rRNA from 1 species